rnacentral:misc_RNA from 1 species
AACACUGUUAACCUGCGGUACCUGCGGAGGGAUCAUUAACAAGCUGUGGGAGAUCGAUCAAUUUGAUCUCACACCUGGCCAACCUUGUUAACCUUAAAUAUAUUGCUUUGGUGAGCCCUGCUCACCAAAGUCAAACCCUAAACUCUUGAUUGUUUCUGCUGUCUGAGCAUGCAAGUGCAAAAUUUAGUUAAAAACUUUCAACAACGGAUCU